rnacentral:rRNA from 1 species
GCCCUUAGAGUUUGAUCCUGGCUCAGGACGAACGCUGGCGGCGUGCCUAAUACAUGCAAGUCGAGCGAGCGGAACUAACAGAUUUACUUCGGUAAUGACGUUAGGAAAGCGAGCGGCGGAUGGGUGAGUAACACGUGGGGAACCUGCCCCAUAGUCUGGGAUACCACUUGGAAACAGGUGCUAAUACCGGAUAAGAAAGCAGAUCGCAUGAUCAGCUUUUAAAAGGCGGCGUAAGCUGUCGCUAUGGGAUGGCCCCGCGGUGCAUUAGCUAGUUGGUAAGGUAAAGGCUUACCAAGGCGAUGAUGCAUAGCCGAGUUGAGAGACUGAUCGGCUACAUUGGGACUGAGACACGGCCCAAACUCCUACGGGAGGCAGCAGUAGGGAAUCUUCCACAAUGGACGCAAGUCUGAUGGAGCAACGCCGCGUGAGUGAAGAAGGUUUUCGGAUCGUAAAGCUCUGUUGUUGGUGAAGAAGGAUAGUGGUAGUAACUGGCCUUUAUUUGACGGUAAUCAACCAGAAAGUCACGGCUAACUACGUGCCAGCAGCCGCGGUAAUACGUAGGUGGCAAGCGUUGUCCGGAUUUAUUGGGCGUAAAGCGAGCGCAGGCGGAAGAAUAAGUCUGAUGUGAAAGCCCUCGGCUUAACCGAGGAACUGCAUCGGAAACUGUUUUUCUUGAGUGCAGAAGAGGAGAGUGGAACUCCAUGUGUAGCGGUGGAAUGCGUAGAUAUAUGGAAGAACACCAGUGGCGAAGGCGGCUCUCUGGUCUGCAACUGACGCUGAGGCUCGAAAGCAUGGGUAGUGAACAGGAUUAGAUACCCUGGUAGUCCAUGCCGUAAACGAUGAGUGCUAAGUGUUGGGAGGUUUCCGCCUCUCAGUGCUGCAGCUAACGCAUUAAGCACUCCGCCUGGGGAGUACGACCGCAAGGUUGAAACUCAAAGGAAUUGACGGGGGCCCGCACAAGCGGUGGAGCAUGUGGUUUAAUUCGAAGCAACGCGAAGAACCUUACCAGGUCUUGACAUCUAGUGCCAUUUGUAGAGAUACAAAGUUCCCUUCGGGGACGCUAAGACAGGUGGUGCAUGGCUGUCGUCAGCUCGUGUCGUGAGAUGUUGGGUUAAGUCCCGCAACGAGCGCAACCCUUGUUAUUAGUUGCCAGCAUUAAGUUGGGCACUCUAAUGAGACUGCCGGUGACAAACCGGAGGAAGGUGGGGAUGACGUCAAGUCAUCAUGCCCCUUAUGACCUGGGCUACACACGUGCUACAAUGGGCAGUACAACGAGAAGCGAGCCUGCGAAGGCAAGCGAAUCUCUGAAAGCUGUUCUCAGUUCGGACUGCAGUCUGCAACUCGACUGCACGAAGCUGGAAUCGCUAGUAAUUGCGGAUCAGCACGCCGCGGUGAAUACGUUCCCGGGCCUUGUACACACCGCCCGUCACACCAUGGGAGUCUGCAAUGCCCAAAGCCGGUGGCCUAACCUUCGGGAAGGAGCCGUCUAAGGCAGGGCAGAUGACUGGGGUGAAGUCGUAACAAGGUAACCGUAAAGGGCGAAUUC